GGGCCCGCACAAGCGGUGGAGCAUGUGGUUUAAUUCGAUGAUACGCGAGGAACCUUACCAGGGCUUAAAUGUAGUUUGACCGGUCUGGAAACAGACUUUCUCUUCGGAGCAGAUUACAAGGUGCUGCAUGGUUGUCGUCAGCUCGUGCCGUGAGGUGUUAGGUUAAGUCCUGCAACGAGCGCAACCCCUAUUCUUAGUUGCCAGCGGUUCGGCCGGGGACUCUAAGAAGACUGCCAGCGCAAGCUGAGAGGAAGGUGGGGAUGACGUCAAAUCAUCACGGCCCUUACGUCCUGGGCUACACACGUGCUACAAUGGUAGAGACAGAGGGCAGCCACCUGGUGACAGGGAGCGAAUCCUUAAACUCUAUCUCAGUUCGGAUCGAAGUCUGCAACUCGACUUCGUGAAGCUGGAAUC
rnacentral:rRNA from 1 species